AGGCAAUGUCUGGAGAAGCCGCCUUGGAUCUCAUGUCAGGGUGAACCAGGGUCUGAAGAAGGCAUGACCAGGAAGGUCCCCAAGCAUGUGGGCUGAAGGAAGCUGAAGGGGGCUGUGCCUAACGAGGAGCUCCAGCAAUGCCAAGGUGCAUCUCCGUGCUGGGGAGGUGGAUGUGACACUCCUGCUGGGGUGGAGCUGAGCAAAUGUUCCCAUCUUCUGUGCUGACAGCACUGUGCCAUUGCCAGGUGCUGUGUUGUCGAUGAGGUGGCUUCACUUCAGUGGAGAAAAAAUGCUGCCAGGACUCAGACCUUUGGAGACUUUGAGGCCAAAGGAUUUUCUAUACUUAAUUUUGAGAGGGGAGAGAGGAAAGGAAACUUCAAGGAAAGCUGCAGAUGCUGCACAGGAGGGAAGUGGAUGGGAGCAUGGCAGUAGGUGCUGGGGCUUUGCAGCAAGGGAGGCAUUUCUGAAGCCCUUGGGAGAGCACAGUCAGAGCUCUCCAGGACUCCGCAUGGAAAUCAUGUUCUUGUUCCAAGCCAGCAAUUGCAAAAUGCUGGUGACACGCUGUUCAUUAUGCAAACUGGCUGCGCAAAGCGGAGAGAAAUGAGAAACAGUCAUGCAUGUCAAAGACCAGAGAGGUUUAAUUGGAAAAGACAACAAUUAAUGUAAGUUACUUAAAGUUUCCAUUUGAAUCAAAGAGACAGUGAAGUGAAACCCAACAAUAAUUGCACAGAGAAGAAAUGUUGACCUGCAGCAGGACUAGCCAUCCCUGUGGCUUCUUCCCCUCUUCUGCUUUUCCUAAUGGCUCCCUUCCUUCUAGCACUAUCCUCCAACAGCACUGGAGGGGCUACUAUCAGCUGGAUCACCACAAACAUCUGUAAACCAGAUUGGUUUCCAUUUUUCAUAAACAAUAAACAGAUUAAGAGAGGCUUUGCAGAGAAUAAUGGGGCUGAGCCAGGGUGGCAUGGGCAGCCCGGCAGCUCCUGGAGUUACUGGACUGAGCCCAGCUUCCCUGGAUGGCCCAGAGUACAAAAUCUCCACUGUUUCCUGCAGAAAGGGCUUUCCCAGAAAACUCCAAAUUAUAUGGGCCAUACCACAAAUGGGGAGGCACUGAAUCAGGGGUUAGACAUUCCCUAGGGAGAUAUAAACCAGGGCAACAAACAACAAAUCUCAGAUUAGAAGGAAAGCCUUAACUGGGAUCCUGCCCCACCAGAACACAUCAGUUGACUUCAUUACCCAAAGCACAACUCAUGCAAUUAAAAAUAGACAAAGAUGAGUUGGUAUUUCA